ensembl:lncRNA
UUGUUGUCAUUAAAAAAAAUGUUGUAACUGUUUUCGAGGCAAGGCAGAAGAAUAUAUAUAUAUAUAUAUAACAAGUUGUGUAGCAAAAAUUAAGGACACUAGUAUUUGUAUGUUUACGUGAUGAUUUUCAGCACUGCAAUUAGCCAGAAACAAUUUUUGUUUAGUCAGUUGUUGUUUUUUUGUUUUUGUUUUUUCUUCAGGUUUUUCAAGCAGGUUACCAAGGUAAGUUUAAAGUCAAAUUGUAAUUUAAUCAUCUGUUUAAAUCACAUUAAACUGACUUAAAAAUUUAAAUGAAUUUCAUGUAACUCAAAAUUGUAACUCAUAACUCCACCUUAGGGAACCCCUGAUGUCACAACUUUCAAUGCACUGCUUUUACCAUUUGCAACUACCCUUUGUUAUCUUUAUUGUUGUGUCGCUAAACAACCAAACAACUGUGAACAACUGUGAGGUUAGGUGUUGUUAAAUGCUGAAAAAGCCUUGCAUGUUCAACUCAAUCAAAUGCUUUUGACAUGUCUGCCAAUAACACACAGAUCAUAGCUGGUUGUUGAGAGUCUAUCUCCCUUAGCCAUGUAUGUAUAUUCUUAACAAAAGCAUUCGUUGUGCUGUGUUUAGGUAGAUAAGCAUACUGAUUGUUGGCAAGUUCCUUCAACACAAACCUCUCUUGUAUUUUACCAGUGCAAGAAGUUAAGGAAAUUGGUCUCCAGUCAGAUUUUUCAAAUGCACAGAAUUUGAGAUCUGAGACUUUGUUUCAUAUCAAAAGUAACAAAGCAUUGGAUGGGAGAUGCGCUUACGGUCUGUUCAUUAAAGGGAUAGUUCACCCAAAACAUUGGUCAUUAAUUACUCACCCUUGUGUCAUUCCAAACCUGUAAGACCUCGGUUCAUCUUCGGAACACAAAUUAUGAUAUUUUUGAUGAAAUCUGAGAGUUUUCUGACCCUCCAUAGACAGCAAGGGUACUACCACAGUCAAGGCACAGAAACUUAGUAAGGACAUUGUUUAAAUAGUCCAUGUGACAUCAGUGGUUCCUUAUAAUAGAUUCCUAUGGGGGAGAACGCUUAACGUGAUAUUAUUCACUUUACACUCUGAAUAAGAGCUUGUUCUUUUAGCAGUAACAAGUGUUUAUUAUAAGUAAAAUUUGACAGAAAUUUGGUUUUCCCCGGUCGUUGUUAAGGUACGUUAAACCACGUUAAGCCGUUUCCUUAUAAUGGACUUCUAUGGGGAGAAAACGCUUAAUGUGAUAUUAUUCACUUUACACGCUGAAUAAGAGCUCGUUCUUUUAGCAGU